rnacentral:tRNA from 1 species
AGUAAGGUCAGCUAAAUAAGCUCUUGGGCCCAUACCCCAGAUAUGUUGGUUAAAUUCCUUCCUUUACUA